CCUUGAGGAUGAAUCUAUCCCGAACCUGAUUCUGUUUGAUUGACAAUCACUAUCGGAUCUGACUUCUGAAAU